rnacentral:lncRNA from 1 species
UGAAUUUUUACUUUGUGUGUUACAUUUGUUCCCUUUAAAUUACAAAGUUAUUCUUCAUGUUAGUGUUUCCCCAACAGCCAAGAGUUAACUAAUUUAUGCUUAUUUUACUCCUGGUUUACUAUAUUUACUUUUCAAUAAUUCCAAAGGGGAGAAUACUAAGUUCAUAGAGUAGGGACCAGGUGCAACUGAUGCAGAUGUCU